rnacentral:tRNA from 1 species
AAGGGCUUAGGCUAAAUUAGACCAAGCGCCUUCAAAGCCCUAAGUGGGAGUUAAAAUCUCCCAGCCCUUA